rnacentral:rRNA from 1 species
UACGGAAGGCAGCAGGGGGAAUAUUGCACAAUGGGCGCAAGCCUGAUGCAGCCAUGCCGCGUGUAUGAAGAAGGCCUUCGGGUUGUAAAGUACUUUCAGUCGUGAGGAAGGUGUUAAGGUUAAUAACCUUAGCAAUUGACGUUAGCGACAGAAGAAGCACCGGCUAACUCCGUGCCAGCAGCCGCGGUAAUACGGAGGGUGCGAGCGUUAAUCGGAAUUACUGGGCGUAAAGGGCACGCAGGCGGUUAAUUAAGUUGGAUGUGAAAUCCCCCGGGCUUAACCUGGGAAUGGCAUUCAAGACUGGUUAGCUAGAGUCUUGUAGAGGGGGUAGAAUUCCAUGUGUAGCGGUGAAAUGCGUAGAGAUGUGGAGGAAUACCGGUGGCGAAGGCGGCCCCGUGGACAAAGACUGACGCUCAUGUGCGAAAGCGUGGGGAGCAAACAGGGAUUAGAUACC